rnacentral:rRNA from 1 species
AUUGAACGCUGGCGGCAUGCCUUACACAUGCAAGUCGAACGGCAGCAUGGAAGAGCUUGCUCUUCUGAUGGCGAGUGGCGAACGGGUGAGUAAAGCAUCGGAACGUACCGUGUAGUGGGGGAUAACGUAGCGAAAGUUACGCUAAUACCGCAUACGCACUGAGGUGGAAAGCAGGGGAUCGCAAGACCUUGCGCUAUACGAGCGGCCGAUGUCAGAUUAGGUAGUUGGUGGGGUAAAGGCUCACCAAGCCAACGAUCUGUAGCUGGUCUGAGAGGACGACCAGCCACACUGGAACUGAGACACGGUCCAGACUCCUACGGGAGGCAGCAGUGGGGAAUUUUGGACAAUGGACGCAAGUCUGAUCCAGCCAUUCCGCGUGCAGGAUGAAGGCCCUCGGGUUGUAAACUGCUUUGUACGGACGAAAAGGUCUCUAUUAAUACUAGGGGCUCAUGACGGUACCGUAAGAAUAAAGCACCGGCUAACUAC